rnacentral:rRNA from 1 species
AGAGUUUGAUCAUGGCUCAGAUUGAACGCUGGCGGCAGGCCUAACACAUGCAAGUCGAACGGUAACAGGAAGCAGCUUGCUGCUUUGCUGACGAGUGGCGGACGGGUGAGUAAUGUCUGGGAAACUGCCUGAUGGAGGGGGAUAACUACUGGAAACGGUAGCUAAUACCGCAUAACGUCGCAAGACCAAAGAGGGGGACCUUCGGGCCUCUUGCCAUCGGAUGUGCCCAGAUGGGAUUAGCUAGUAGGUGGGGUAACGGCUCACCUAGGCGACGAUCCCUAGCUGGUCUGAGAGGAUGACCAGCCACACUGGAACUGAGACACGGUCCAGACUCCUACGGGAGGCAGCAGUGGGGAAUAUUGCACAAUGGGCGCAAGCCUGAUGCAGCCAUGCCGCGUGUAUGAAGAAGGCCUUCGGGUUGUAAAGUACUUUCAGCGGGGAGGAAGGGAGUAAAGUUAAUACCUUUGCUCAUUGACGUUACCCGCAGAAGAAGCACCGGCUAACUCCGUGCCAGCAGCCGCGGUAAUACGGAGGGUGCAAGCGUUAAUCGGAAUUACUGGGCGUAAAGCGCACGCAGGCGGUUUGUUAAGUCAGAUGUGAAAUCCCCGGGCUCAACCUGGGAACUGCAUCUGAUACUGGCAAGCUUGAGUCUCGUAGAGGGGGGUAGAAUUCCAGGUGUAGCGGUGAAAUGCGUAGAGAUCUGGAGGAAUACCGGUGGCGAAGGCGGCCCCCUGGACGAAGACUGACGCUCAGGUGCGAAAGCGUGGGGAGCAAACAGGAUUAGAUACCCUGGUAGUCCACGCCGUAAACGAUGUCGACUUGGAGGUUGUGCCCUUGAGGCGUGGCUUCCGGAGCUAACGCGUUAAGUCGACCGCCUGGGGAGUACGGCCGCAAGGUUAAAACUCAAAUGAAUUGACGGGGGCCCGCACAAGCGGUGGAGCAUGUGGUUUAAUUCGAUGCAACGCGAAGAACCUUACCUGGUCUUGACAUCCACGGAAGUUUUCAGAGAUGGAAAUGUGCCUUCGGGAACCGUGAGACAGGUGCUGCAUGGCUGUCGUCAGCUCGUGUUGUGAAAUGUUGGGUUAAGUCCCGCAACGAGCGCAACCCUUAUCCUUUGUUGCCAGCG